rnacentral:rRNA from 1 species
UACGGAGGGUGCAAGCGUUGUUCGGAAUUAUUGGGCGUAAAGGGCGCGUAGGCGGUUGUGAUAGUCAGAUGUGAAAUCCUCCGGCUUAACUGGAGAACUGCAUCUGAAACUUCAUAGCUAGAGUACAGGAGAGGGAAACGGAAUUCCCGGUGUAGAGGUGAAAUUCGUAGAUAUCGGGAGGAACACCAGUGGCGAAGGCGGUUUCCUGGCCUGAUACUGACGCUGAGGCGCGAAAGCGUGGGGAGCAAACAGGAUUAGAUACCCCCGUAGUCCCUGA